AUGGCUUGCAAGAUCGCCAGCAUGUCCUCCUCUCUUGCGGCGCUCCUCCUCGGCGUGCUGCUGCUCUCGCGCGGCGGCAUCAGCAACGCGGCGCGGCACCUGGAGGAGCCGGAGGUGCCUCCGGAUCUCCCGGCACCUCUGCCCAGGCCGGACUUGCUGCCGCCGCUGCCCAUACCCGACGCGCUGCCAAAGCCGGAGCUGCCGCCGCUGCCCAUACCCGGCGGGCUGCCCAGGCCGGAGCUGCCGCCGUUGCCCAUACCGGACGUGUUGCCAAAGCUGCCGUUGCCGGAGCUGCAGCCGUUGCCGGAGCUGCAGCCGUUGCCUACACCUGACGUGCUGCCGAUGCCGGAGCUGCCACCGCUGCCCAAACCUGACGUGGAACCAAUGCCAGAGCUGCCACCAGUGCCCAAGGGUGAGGAGCGACCGAAGACGGAGCUGCCUCCGCUGCCAACAGGUGAGAUCGCACCACAACCGGCUCUGCCGCCUCUUCCUACAGGCGACCUUGCGCCCAAAGCAGAGCUACCCAAGAUAGACGAGCCGACGAAGACGGAGCUGCCUCCACUCCCGACCGGUUAUCUUCCGCCGAAGCCAGAGGUCGAGCUGCCACCCAAGACAGAGGAGCCACCGAAGCCGGAGCUGCCUCCACUCCCGACCGGUGAGCUUGCACCGAAGCCAGAGCUGCCGCCACUCCCUACCAGUGAGCUUGCACCGAAGCCGGCGCAGCCGCCACUGCCCAAGCCCGCGGAGCCAAAACCAUGA
rnacentral:rRNA from 1 species